GGCCUUGACAUAUGAGAUAUGUCUAAUGUGUGACAUGUCUCAUGCAUGUCGAGAUAGGAUAAAUUGCUCGUACCGUGUUGAACAAUUCAAUGGUUUAUACCCAGUGGCCAUCCACAUCACAUCCCUGUGUGAAUAUAAUCAAGAUAACAACAUUUCGCAAGGAAAUCUGCUAGCUUGUUCCUCUGUCGUGCUCAUUCUGUUUAAUGGCAUCAAUCUGGAUUG
rnacentral:lncRNA from 1 species